GCCCUUGUAGCUCAGUGGCAGAGCGCAUCACUCGUAAUACGAUUAAUGAUGAGGUCCGCGGUUCAAUCCCGCGUGGGGGCA